UCUUUCAGCAGGGAAGAAGCGAAAGUGACGGUACCUGCAGAAGAAGCGCCGGCUAACUACGUGCCAGCAGCCGCGGUAAUACGUAGGGCGCAAGCGUUGUCCGGAAUUAUUGGGCGUAAAGAGCUCGUAGGCGGUCUGUCGCGUCGGAUGUGAAAGCCCGGGGCUUAACCCCGGGUCUGCAUUCGAUACGGGCAGACUAGAGUGUGGUAGGGGAGAUCGGAAUUCCUGGUGUAGCGGUGAAAUGCGCAGAUAUCAGGAGGAACACCGGUGGCGAAGGCGGAUCUCUGGGCCAUUACUGACGCUGAGGAGCGAAAGCGUGGGGAGCGAACAGGAUUAGAUACCCUGGUAGUCCACGCCGUAAACGGUGGGAACUAGGUGUUGGCGACAUUCCACGUCGUCGGUGCCGCAGCUAACGCAUUAAGUUCCCCGCCUGGGGAGUACGGCCGCAAGGCUAAAACUCAAAGGAAUUGACGGGGGCCCGCACAAGCAGCGGAGCAUGUGGCUUAAUUCGACGCAACGCGAAGAACCUUACCAAGGCUUGACAUACACCGGAAAGCAUUAGAGAUAGUGCCCCCCUUGUG
rnacentral:rRNA from 1 species